rnacentral:rRNA from 1 species
UACGGGGGGGGCAAGCGUUGUUCGGAAUUACUGGGCGUAAAGGGCUCGUAGGCGGCCAACUAAGUCGGACGUGAAAUCCCUCGGCUUAACCGGGGAACUGCGUCCGAUACUGGAUGGCUUGAGUUCGGGAGAGGGAUGCGGAAUUCCAGGUGUAGCGGUGAAAUGCGUAGAUAAUCUGGAGGAACACCGGUGGCGAAGGCGGCAUCCUGGACCGACACUGACGCUGAGGAGCGAAAGCCAGGGGAGCAAACGGG